rnacentral:rRNA from 1 species
UACGUAGGUGGCAAGCGUUGUCCGGAUUUAUUGGGUUUAAAGGGUGCGUAGGCGGCUUUUAAGUUCAGUGGUGAAAGCCGAUCGCUUAACGAUCGAACUGCCAUUGAUACUGAAAUGCUUGAGUAUAGAUGAGGUAGGCGGAAUUGACAGUGUAGCGGUGAAAUGCAUAGAUAUUGUCAAGAACACCAAUUGCGAAGGCAGCUUACUAAGUUAUAACUGACGCUGAGGCACGAAAGUGCGGGGAUCAAACAGG